rnacentral:rRNA from 1 species
GACGAACGCUGGCGGCGUGCCUAAUACAUGCAAGUUGAGCGCUGAAGGUUGGUACUUGUACCAACUGGAUGAGCAGCGAACGGGUGAGUAACGCGUGGGGAAUCUGCCUUUGAGCGGGGGACAACAUUUGGAAACGAAUGCUAAUACCGCAUAAAAACUUUAAACACAAGUUUUAAGUUUGAAAGAUGCAAUUGCAUCACUCAAAGAUGAUCCCGCGUUGUAUUAGCUAGUUGGUGAGGUAAAGGCUCACCAAGGCGAUGAUACAUAGCCGACCUGAGAGGGUGAUCGGCCACAUUGGGACUGAGACACGGCCCAAACUCCUACGGGAGGAAGCAGUAGGGAAUCUUCGGCAAUGGACGAAAGUCUGACCGAGCAACGCCGCGUGAGUGAAGAAGGUUGUCGGAUCGUAAAACUCUGUUGGUAGAGAAGAACGUUGGUGAGAGUGGAAAGCUCAUCAAGUGACGGUAACUACCCAGAAAGGGACGGCUAACUACGUG